CAGCACCUCAAGUGGUCAGGAUGAUUAUUGGGCCUAAAGCAUCCGUAGCCUGCUUUGUUAGUUUUCGGUUAAAUCCAUACGCUUAACGUAUGGGCUGCCGGGAAUACUGCAAAGCUAGGGAGUGGGAGAGGUAGACGGUACUCGGUAGGAAGGGGUAAAAUCCUUUGAUCUAUUGAUGACCACCUGUGGCGAAGGCGGUCUACCAGAACACGUCCGACGGUGAGGGAUGAAAGCUGGGGGAGCAAACCGGAUUAGAUACCCGAGUAGUCC
rnacentral:rRNA from 1 species